rnacentral:rRNA from 1 species
CAGUAGGGAAUCUUCCGCAAUGGACGAAAGUCUGACGGAGCAACGCCGCGUGAGUGAUGAAGGUUUUCGGAUCGUAAAGCUCUGUUGUUAGGGAAGAACAAGUACCGUUCGAAUAGGGCGGUACCUUGACGGUACCUAACCAGAAAGCCACGGCUAACUACGUGCCAGCAGCCGCGGUAAUACGUAGGUGGCAAGCGUUGUCCGGAAUUAUUGGGCGUAAAGGGCUCGCAGGCGGUUUCUUAAGUCUGAUGUGAAAGCCCCCGGCUCAACCGGGGAGGGUCAUUGGAAACUGGGGAACUUGAGUGCAGAAGAGGAGAGUGGAAUUCCACGUGUAGCGGUGAAAUGCGUAGAGAUGUGGAGGAACACCAGUGGCGAAGGCGACUCUCUGGUCUGUAACUGACGCUGAGGAGCGAAAGCGUGGGGAGCGAACAGGAUUAGAUACCCUGGUAGUCCACGCCGUAAACGAUGAGUGCUAAGUGUUAGGGGGUUUCCGCCCCUUAGUGCUGCAGCUAACGCAUUAAGCACUCCGCCUGGGGAGUACGGUCGCAAGACUGAAACUCAAAGGAAUUGACGGGGGCCCGCACAAGCGGUGGAGCAUGUGGUUUAAUUCGAAGCAACGCGAAGAACCUUACCAGGUCUUGACAUCCUCUGACAAUCCUAGAGAUAGGACGUCCCCUUCGGGGGCAGAGUGACAGGUGGUGCAUGGU